CGUGUAGGCGGCCGGCCAAGUCGGAUGUGAAAGCCCUCGGCUUAACCGAGGAAGUGCGUUCGAUACUAGCUGGCUUGAGUACCGGAGAGGGUGGUGGAAUUCCCGGUGUAGAGGUGAAAUUCGUAGAUAUCGGGAGGAACACCAGCGGCGAAGGCGACCACCUGGACGGAUACUGACGCUGAGACGCGAAAGCGUGGGGAGCAAACAG
rnacentral:rRNA from 1 species